CUUGUCCUGUGUCCCCGCUAUCCAUGCCUGACUUUGAUCCUCACUGCUUUACAAUGAGGUGUCCUACUGAGACGAUCUACAGCCAUCCUCUCUCCCCUUGGAAAUAAUAAAACCCUUAAGAAGUCUUUCUCCUCGCGUAACUGAGCAAACUCACCCCCGAGCACGGGUAGUGUAAGGAGGUAUACGAGAGCCAUCUAUGUGCUACCAGUGAUGUAUUUCACAGCACGGGAGGUGACCCUACUGCAUCAGCCUUCUGUUAGCAACCACC
rnacentral:lncRNA from 1 species